UAUGGGGUAAUUUUGCAUUGUAAUUUUAUGAAUACUACAAUAACCAUGGGGAAGAUGUGAACAUUGUUGUUCUAUUACAAAACGCAAGGAUAAAGGCUGCGCAAGGAGGUUUUCCUUUAAAUGUAUCCAAUGCUUGGAGUGGCACAAAGCUGAUCAUUAAUGAUAUUAGUAAUGUUGAAAUUAAGAAGCUGAAGGAUAGCCUAAAUGCUGAACUGCCAAAGCUUUCUUCAUCAAGUUUGCAAGUUGAAACAACUCAAACCUCACAGUAUUCCGAUUUUGAUAAAUUUAUAUGGAAGACCG